UAUUAGAAUUCAUACAAAUUAUUCUUUAGUGUUUAGAAUAUUUGUAUCUAUUUUCUUAUUCAGAUGUUAACCAGAUGUUUGUAUGGUCUGUACCAGAUGUUGUUGUUGUUAACCCUAUCAUUAUGCCCUAGAAAAACUCCCAACCCAGAAAUAGGACUACUGGAAAAUGGUCGUUUUCAUUCAAAAAGAAAAAAGAAAAGAAAAGAAACAACAUCAUUUUAUUUAACUCCUGAACCAGACACCUUGUGGAACUUCAUUUCUAAUGUGACUGCAUACAAUUUCCAGAGAAACAGGAUGCUUUAGACAGAAAUUCUUCAUCAGCUGUGCAAGCAAAUAUUAUAAUUAGGGAUGCACCGAAUGUACGGCAACCGAAAUCAUUCGGCCGAAAAUAAUUUAAAAAAAGCAUUUUCGGUGUUCGGCCGAAUAAGUGAAAAGGCUGAAUAAAUUUGACCGAACUAUGACGUGUUUGAUGACGCACCAAAUAGCCUAGCAACCACAGUGUGAUGCGGGAAUUUCACGACCUCCACUUCCGGCAGCGCUCUUGGAGCGAUGAGCGGGUGCGCGCGUGCACGAUUGUGCACAAGCGCAUGCUCUUCGGAUGUUGACAACCGUGACAUUGUUGACACGUGCACGUUUGUUUUGUUUCUGUUCCGGAGUAUUCCGUCACGUCGCGAGACGUAAGGGAGUAGAGUACGGAAGCAGAUGAAGAGAGCUAUGGCAAUGGAUAUUCUAAGUGCGAUAACUGCAGCAAGCAGCAUCAUAUUUAUCCUGUUUAUGAGGAAGAACUGCUAUGAUUUUAGAUGUUGUUAUAUAAUUAUGGUAUAGUUUAUUUAUGUAUUUAUUUUCAGCAUGAGAAAAUGAACAUCACUACACAAUCAAGGGUAAAAAUAUCACCUUUUUAAUUAAUAUACAUUUUAUAUUAAUUUUUCAGCAGAUAGUUUAUCAGGUUUAUAAUAAUAAUCAUCAUCAUCAUGGGUGCACGGUGGCUUAGUGGUUAGCACGUUCGCCUCACACCUCCAGGGUCGGCGGUUCGAUUCCCACGGCUCUGUGUGUGCGGAGUUUGCAUGUUCUUUGCAUGUUGCUGUUGGGGUUUCCUCCCCCAGUCCUGGUAGGCUGCAUGGUACAUGCUACAAGGACUGGCACCCUGUCCAGGGUGUACCCUGCCUUGUGCCGAUGCUCCCUGAGAUAGGCUCCAGGUUCCCCGUGACCCUGAAAAGGAUAAGCGGUAUAGAAGAUGGAUGGAUAAUCAUCAUCUUAAAAACUUAGGACAUAACAUGAUAAUAUAUAUUAAAUAAAAAUCAUUAAGAAACUACAUUCUGUUAUUCUGUUAUAAUAACAUUGUGUUAUUGUGUAUAUCUCAUACUAAAUAGUUUUAGAUAAAAUACAAUAUAAAACAAAGGCAACCUGAGUAAACACACAAUACAGUUUCAUUUUAUUUAUUUAUUUAUUUUUGAGUUUACAGAUGUGACUCCAGGUUCUUAUGGUCAGUGACUAUGCUUAUAUCCACAUCAAUAUUCCAAUAUUAAUCAGAAUUUGUCAAUUUUCUAAUUAGUAUUCAGCCAUGUAAAUGCCGCAAUCCGAUUGCCCAAUUCAGAUUAAGACUAUAUUCUUAUUCCCAAAAGUCUGAUUCCUACCCCUGCAAUAUGCAUGCUUUAAUUGGAAGUUUGUUGCAUGUAAAUCCACUGAAAGGAGAUAUAUGCGCAUGCUCAGUCCGCUAGUGGUGCUAACAGAGUAAUUGUCCAAAUCACAUCCCUCCUGUAGACUGCAAUAAUUCAUGCACCUUAUAAGGACCAGUGGUGUAUUCAGAGCCAUACGCACAUAUAUGCCGUAUGCUUACUUUUUCCCAAGGGCUGUUUGUGUAUAACGACUUCUAACGUUCAAUACUAGUGUAUACCCUUGGUAUACUCACUUGUUUCUACUUUAACUCUAUCAGGUGUUUUUGUGUGUGUGUGUGUGUGAACCUCGCGAUUCUUUGUUGUAAGUGGUGCAUUUUUAUUUGAAUUCCACCUUUCCCUGCCCCUGACAAGUGCAGUCAACCGUUGUCACUGCCAUCUUUGGCUGAAGACAUUGUCUAUCUGAAGCAGCCACAUAAAAUUAAUAAAAGUGCUUGAAUUGGGCUUGAAGCAGAGAUGUAAACUCGAGUCUGCAACUUGGACUUGAGUCACACUUAAGUUGCAAAAAAAAUUACUUGCGACUUGACUUGGACUCGUGAACAACUGACUUGAGACUUGAGACUCAAAUCAUUUUGGUUUGUCAUUC